rnacentral:tRNA from 1 species
GGAACUGUAGCUCAGUGGUAAAGCACUUGCUUGGGAUGUAUGAGAUUUGGGGUUCAACCCCCAGUACUG